AGAUCUCUACAAAACCCCGAAUGCUUAAUUGAGGCAACUAGUCCCUUCAAUCUGUUGGACAUAAUGCAAAUGUUGUCUUGCCUAACAUGUCUCCGUAAGUUGGUUAGGAAAAAUUGUCAUGAUUUGAAGUUCUCUAACUCCAUGAUGGCAAAGGUGAUGCGUAGUAUGUUUCGGUUACCGCCUUGUGCUACCGCAAUCAGGAGUAUCUGUGUAUAUUUACCAUAAACUUAGGUACCAUCAACCUACACCAGUGGCUUGUAAUGGGAAAAUGCCCUAACACAUUAAUCGAACAUCCAGAACAAGCCAUGGAAAAUUCUUCUCCUCAGUUGUAGUUCGUCCUCCGAGC
rnacentral:lncRNA from 1 species